AUGCAAUAGGGCUGGAGUGUGCAUUUCAGUUGGUGUUUGAUUCUUUCCGUGUUCCUUUCUUUUUUCUUUUUUAGAGAGCAGGGGGAGAGGGAGAGGGAGAAAGAAUCCCGAGCGGGCUCCACCCUGGCACGGAGCCCGACGCGGAUCGAUCUCACAACUGUAAGGUCGUGACCUGAGCCAAAAUCAAGAGUUGGACCCUUAACGCACUGAGCCACCCAGGUGCCUUGGUGUCUGAUUCCUAACUGUUCCUACAGCCCACAUUCUCCUGGUGGUGGUGAUGGAGCACAUUAGCCGACUUCACCAACUCUAAAGGCAGUAAAUUUAGCAGCUCAGAGCACGGGUUCGAGAGACAGACCUCAGGUCACCCACCACCUCUGUCUGUGGCCAUAGACAAGUCUGAGCCUUUGGUUUUCUCACCUGCAAAGGAAGCGAUAUUAUUGGAGCUCGUCCGAGAAUGAAAGGAAACACUGGGAAAUGCUUUGCAUAGUAUCUGCUACAUAGGCAUCCCUUUAGGUCCCGGAGCUUCAUGGCCUGUUACAAGGCAGAGUGAGGCGUCAGAGCUGCUGUGGGAACUAAAGUAGGGGUGUGGCCACGGGGCUGUUCGAACAUCUGACGGAUGCUGUUGUGUCUCCACGUGUUUUCAACGCUGUUGUUCUGUCAAUACCACGUCAUACUCAUUCAAGCAUGUGAUCUACUGGGUAUUUUAUUUCAUGUGGCGAGGUUAUUUUGAGACUUUUAGAAAAGGAAAUUUAGAGCAAACAUAAAGAUACCUUAUCUGAACAUGUCAUUUUCGCUUUUUUAUUAGCACCGCAGAAAACCUUCUAUUAACACCAUAGAGAAAGAAAACAAACUUGACCAAAAAGUCCAAGCCGUGCUGGCUUCUGUAUUUGAAGUUUUGUUCUUUAUUUUUCCACUUGACCGGCAUGUCUAUUUUGCCUCCCUUCCUUUUCCCUUCUGCGGGCAAAAGAACACUUAUUUAUCUUUCCAUUUAUAGGGCAUUUCCUUUAUGAAGCCCCUAUUGACACACCUGCCACCAAGUAAACUUGAUCACUCCCUGUUUUUGUGGCCCCGCUGCUCCCUGAAAGCUUCUACCACGGUUAACAAUGUCUUCACUGACAAAACGAAAAUCAGACAAACUAAACCCA